CACCUGUAAUGUCAAAACUCAUUCCUUCCACCAGGGACAAGCCUUUGUGUGUAGAGAUGAAGAAGGAGGCUGGAAGUUUGCCUGGGUCCCUAAACAGCCUUAGUGACCCCUCUUGUAUCACAGAGCACUGCCAGGAACUCUGUUUACAAAGACCUCUCUUACACUGCAACCUGACUAUGUGGAGCACAGAAGCUAUUGCCCAGACAAUCUUUAGCCACUUUAAAUGUUACUCUCAACUACCACUUAAAUUUGUAGGGAAUAGCUUCCAAGAAUCCAUAUGAGAGGCAUAUGCUCUUCCUCCACCUGAACUUGACUAGUUUGCACAUCAAGGUCUGCUAUCAACUUCUUCUCUUUGCCCUGUACUUGAAAAGGUGUUUUCCAAUCUUCUGUAGAUUUCUUCAAGACCUAGAUAUACUUUGCUUAUCAUGACCUGUUUAACACCUUUUGUUCUCUUGUCAAGUAGUUUAAAUAUGUAUGGUCUUUAUUUCUCUCCCUCUUCUACAUUUCUUUAUUUCUGAAAACUGCCUUUAGAAUGAGCCCUAUUUUUGUUUCAAGUACUUCCUCCUGGUUGUUUAAAUUGUUAGAGGUAGGGUAAAAGCAAGUGUCUGCCCAUCACCACUGCUGAAGAAGUAUUGUGGAUAUGAGUAACAGUAUGUCCAGGGCAGCUCAAAGAGUCAAGUGUUGCAGGGUGGCUUUGGCAAAACAUCUCUAAGACGGCUGUGACUCCACUGAUAAGCAAUACCACUGAAAAAUGACAAAAGUUAAAAAGAAUUAAAGUUACUUCAAAAUGUCCCAAUACCUGCUUCCAUUGGCACCUGGCCAUUGUUUCUUUAACUGACAUGGCUCAAAAAUGAUAUUUUUGAGGAACUGUUACACAACAAAUCAUCAUCUUAAACUGCACAGAUGCUGGCAAACUCAUCACUAGCCCAGCUCUGACAAUGUCACACUCAUUUCUUCUGUCAGUCAUGUAUUCAUGCAAUUCACCUAAAAUAUCUAUAGAAUACCUCAUGCUCACUGUGUAACAGGCAUUGUAAUUCAGGAUGGUGAUAAAAUGUGAGCAGUUUGGGCCCUGUGCCCACACUCAUGAGACCUAGAGCCAUUCAUCUGCUGUCAUCCCUGAGAAAGCUAUUUCCUGGUAUGAAAAUUCAAUUUUCCCAGCUGUGGAAUACAGAACUUGAUUAGAUAACUUCUAACAUUCUAUGAAUGAAGUCUGGAUCCCAUCAGAUUUAUUUCUAUUUGGUCAUUCAAGGCCAUUUUUCUCUUAGAAAGGUACUGCAUAUACUAGGUAGGGUGAACUUUAUCUGCAAUGGAAAAAAUAGAAAAAUAAAUAUGAGUCAUUUGUAAUCAGCAUUAGAAAUCAUUUCUCUGAUCACAGGAUUCUUUUUUCCAGUAUGAGCCCACUUUGCAGGUUGAUUCAGUCUGUGUGAGAGUAACCUCUAUCUAAAAAAAGAUACAUUUUAAUUUGUAAGUAAAUGUGAAUAGAGCGAAUGCAAGCAUGAUAUCAAAGAUCUCUUCUUUCCUAAAUUUUUUAAGAAUAUUUUUGGUGCUCUUGACUGUUUCCUUCCUUUCCAUCCUUCAAGCUCCCUAUUGUUCCCAGAAUAAACUAUGCAUCAAUGUCGGGCACCUAUGCUUUUUUGGACAACAUGAUUAAAUUCACCAGGUUGAAAGCCAUCUCCAUCUUUCUCUUUCUAUUCUCCUCUCAAUACUUCACUAUGCACAAUCAACUUCUUUGUGUGUGCCAUUUGGAAUUCUUUGUAACCAAGACAUUUCUUUUGUGUUUGAUCAUUGCUUUAUUUAUGUUGUGUGAGCAAAUAUCUAUUUUAUAAAGCUUUGUUACCCAUUAGUUUUCUUUAUAAUUCAUGAAGGUGAAUACAAAUUAGUAAUUAAUAUUAUUCUCGGGAAUAUUUUAAAACUAAGGAAGAGAUAGCAUAUGUUCUACUCCCCCCCCCAAACCCCCCAAAACACAAAAAGUACCUUUUACAUUCUGGUAUCUAUGCCUCUUGUGGGUGAAAUUUAUCUCUAGAAUAAUAAAUUUAUAAUUAGAAUUGAUUAUACUUUACUACACAAGGAAUUGAGUAAGCAAUGGAACUAUUUAAAAACUCUUAUAAUCAAGCUGUAAAACAAAAUUUACCAGUUAACACAUAUUUAUUUUGCAAUAUCCAUGUGCCAUGUUAUAUGUUAAUUACCAUGAGGAAACACCCAGGCUUCUCACAGUGCAUUUGGUGCAUAAAAAAGUCACCAAAAAUAUCAAAGCUUUUGAAAGCUUUUAAAUGAAACUUGGUUUCAGCCUGGUUAAAGAAACUAUAGGACAUUUAUGUGGCAUAUUAUGAUAUCUUCUUCUAACUCAUAUCAUGAAUGAUAGUAUGGAAGAAAAUUACCACAUAUGUUUGCAAUUAUAUUUAUAAACAUUUGAUAUUCAUUUGAAUAAUGUAUACAAAAUUAUUUUGUUAAUGUUUGAGAAAUUGGAAAUUCGUUUCACUCAAGUAUAUGUUCUAACUUUUAUAGUUUUAUCAUGCAUUUCCAGUAAACCAGUUAAUAUUUUAUUAAGAUAAAGUGGGAAAUGAAACUAAAUACCUUUGUGAUUAUGAUGAAUAAUUUUAUAUUGUACAUAACAUUUUUAAUAAUGGACUUUUUUCUCCUGGAUUUUUGUGACCACAAUCCUGUAUAUUUGACUCUCUUUUGUAUGACAUAUGAUAUGGCCAGAUUAAUAUCCUCAGAAUUUAAUGGUUCCUUCUCUCCUCUAGGAUACAUUAAUGAUUUUUCCCAUGUUAGGUGGCCUGAAGAGAAAAAUGCCUUAGGAGUACAGCACUCUCUUACUUAAUCUCACAGAAAAAUUAGAAUUCAAUUUUUUUAAAUUUGAUGACACUUCCAAUGUCCUCUGAUACUCUGAAAACAAUCCUGUGUCUUACUAGUAUCUGGAAAAUAUGGACAAUUGGAAAGUCUCAGUUCUAUAGGUGAUGUUUAAUAAGUAGGGUUACUUAAAAUUGCAGUGAUGUUAAACUAUAAUUUUGAAAAGAUUAAAGAAUGUGAAUAAAUAAAAAGACUUUAAUGUACUUGAUGUAAUUGAAGAAAGCAGAAUAUGUUUUUAAAUAUGACAAAUGAAUUCAACAAUAAAUUGAAGUACCACAGGUAUAGCAGAAAAUAUAGUUAGUACAUUUACUGAUAACUACUUUUAUUUUGUACUAGGGAUUGAAUCCAGGCAUGCUUGUCCACUAAGCCCCAUCCUUAGCCUUUUUAAAAUAUUUUGUUUAAAGACAGGAUCAUGCUGAGUUGCUUAGAGCCUGGCUAAUUUGCUGAUGCUGGCUUUAAACUGCCUCAGCCUCGGGUGCCACUGGAAUUACAAGUAUGCACCUGGCACUUGGCCAUCCACUGAUAACUUUUUAAAUGUAUAAUUUUUUGCCUGUAAAGUUCAGGUAUGCAAUUAGAUAUUUGUUUCAAUUUACCAAAAGAUUCACAUAUUGUUAAAUAGUAAAUGCCUAAUUUUAAUUUUUUUAAAUAAAACCACAUAUAUUUGGUUUUCAUGUUAGAAGUUUAUGGUAUGAUUAUAUUUCUUAACAAUCUUUUCAUAUUUUUAUCUAUCUUUUUGUUACAUGAACAUAAACAUUCAAUUUUAAUCCUUAUAUUGGAUAUUCUGCAAAUGUAAAAUAUAAUUCAACACUUAAGAAUAAGCACUUAGAUGCUAUGUUUCUUUUUGAUUUGAACUUUUUUAAAUUAUGGAAGUCAAUUUUGUGAUGAACUUAUGACUAAUAAAUAAAUGACAAGUCAUUUAAUUUUAUGUUCAGCCCUUAAUUUGGAAACAUGUUUUCAGUGAAUGGAGCAAUGAACUAAGAAAAAGGUUUUGUUUCUCCUAUAAAUCCUAUGUCAUAAAAAUAUGUAUUUCAAUUUACAAAUGUGUGAAAUAGUAGUAUGAUUAAUAACUGAGGCAAUUAUUCAAUAGAUAUAGCUGGUGUCAAGCUCUGCUGAAGAUAUAACGAUGAUGUUAUAUAAAAGGGUAUAUGUAUUAAAAUUAACUUAUGUAUAAAUGAGAGAAACAUAACUUCAACAUGAUUGAUUAAAGCAAGGGUGUAAAGGCUCUCAUAAUGAAAACAUCCACAUUGCAAGUAUGGAAUUAUGGUUGAUUCUAUA
rnacentral:lncRNA from 1 species